GACGAACGCUGGCGGCGUGCUUAACACACGCAAGUCGAACGGAAAGGCCUCUUUCGGGGGGUACUCGAGUGGCGAACGGGUGAGUAACACGUGAGUAACCUGCCCUUGACUUUGGGAUAACUUCAGGAAACUGGGGCUAAUACCGGAUAGGAGCUCCUGCUGCAUGGUGGGGGUUGGAAAGUUUCGGCGGUUGGGGAUGGACUCGCGGCUUAUCAGCUUGUUGGUGGGGUAGUGGCUUACCAAGGCUUUGACGGGUAGCCGGCCUGAGAGGGUGACCGGCCACAUUGGGACUGAGACACGGCCCAGACUCCUACGGGAGGCAGCAGUGGGGAAUAUUGCACAAUGGGUGGAAGCCUGAUGCAGCAACGCCGUGUGCGGGAUGACGGCCUUCGGGUUGGAAACCGCUUUCGCUCAUGACGAAGCUUUGUGUGACGGUAGUGGGUAAAGAAGCACCGGCUAACUACGUG
rnacentral:rRNA from 1 species